rnacentral:rRNA from 1 species
UACGGAGGGGGCUAGCGUUGUUCGGAAUCAUUGGGCGUAAAGGGCGCGUAGGCGGCCGAUCAAGUCGGAGGUGAAAUCCCUCGGCUCAACUGAGGAAUUGCCUCCGAUACUGUUCGGCUUGAGUCCUGGAGAGGGUAGUGGAAUUCCGAGUGUAGCGGUGAAAUGCGUAGAGACUCGGAAGAACACCAGUGGCGAAGGCGGCUACCUGGACAGGUACUGACGCUGAAGCGCGAAAGCUAGGGGAGCAAACAGG